GGUCGGCAUGAUCGCGUCGGUGCCCCGGAAGGGGCUUAAUAGGGAACGCGGUGAGGGUGGUUCGCCACCUGAAGCCGAGGCUGUCCCUGCAACUGUAAGCGGCGAGCGCGAUGCAUUUCGCUUCUUCCUGCAAAGGAAGGGGCAGCCACUGGGCCAGACGUUACGUCAUUAGGGCCUGGGAAGGCCGUGCAUCGUGCGAGGACCCGUGAGCCAGGAGACCUGCCGGCGUCUGGUCGCUCUU
rnacentral:ncRNA from 2 species